AAAUGAAUAGACGGGGAGGCACACAAUCAGUGGAACAUGUGGUUCAAUUCGAAACAAACCGAACAACCUCACCAAGAUUUGACAUGCUCAUGACGACUUUUAGAAACAUUAGUCUUUUCGCAAGAAACUAGAGCACAGGUGCUGCAUGGCUGUCGUCAGCUCGUUCCGUGAGGAGUACCCUUAAGUGGGACAACGAGCGCAACCCCCGUCCCGAGUUAUAUUUGUCUCGGGAGACUGCUCGUCCUUUGGACGGGAGGAAGGAGGGGCAGACGUCAAGUCAGCAUGGUCCUUAUAUCUUGGGCUACACACAUGUUACAAUGGACAAAGCAGAGGGUCUUGCCACCUGGUAACAGGGAGCUAAUCCAUAAACUUGUCCUCAGUGGGGAUUGGGGUCUGCAACUCGACCUCAUGAACGCGGAAUUGAUAGUAAUCGCGAAUCAGUCAUGUCGCGGUGAAUACGUUCUUGCCUCUUGCACACACCGCCCGU
rnacentral:rRNA from 1 species